UACGGAGGAUCCGAGCGUUAUCCGGAUUUAUUGGGUUUAAAGGGUGCGUAGGCGGCCUGUUAAGCCAGGGGUGAAAGACGGUAGCUCAACUAUCGCAGUGCCCUUGAUACUGAUGGGCUUGAAUAUACUAGAGGUAGGCGGAAUGUGACAAGUAGCGGUGAAAUGCAUAGAUAUGUCACAGAACACCAAUUGCGAAGGCAGCUUACUAUGGUAUAAUUGACGCUGAGGCACGAAAGCGUGGGGAUCAAACAGG
rnacentral:rRNA from 1 species